GAUGAACGCUGGCGGCGUGCCUAAUACAUGCAAGUCGAGCGAACAGACGAGGAGCUUGCUCCUCUGACGUUAGCGGCGGACGGGUGCUUAACACGUGGAUAACCUACCUAUACGACUGGGAUACCAUCGGGAAACCGGAGCUAAUAACGGAUAAUAUAUUGAACCGCAUGGUUCAAUAGUGAAAGACGGUUUUGCUUACGCUUAUAGAUUGCUCCGCGCCGCAUUAGGUAGUUGGUUAGGUAACGGCUUACCAAGGCAACGAUGGGUAGCCGACCUGAGAGGGAGAUUGGCUAGACUGGAAGUGAGACACGGUCCAGACUCCUACGGGAGGCAGCAGUAGGGAAUCUUCCGCGAGGGACGAAAGCCUGACGGAGCAACGCCGCGGGAGUGAUGAAGGUCUUCGGAUCGUAAAACUCUGUUAUUAUGGAAGAACAAAUGUGUAAGUAACUAUGCACGUCUUGACGGUACCUAAACAGAAAGCCACGGCUAACUACGUG
rnacentral:rRNA from 1 species